CCAGAGAACUUAGCAGAGAUGCUUUGGUGCCUUCGGGAACUCUGAGACAGGUGCUGCAUGGCUGUCGUCAGCUCGUGUUGUGAAAUGUUGGGUUAAGUCCCGCAACGAGCGCAACCCUUAUCCUUUGUUGCCAGCGAUUCGGUCGGGAACUCAAAGGAGACUGCCGGUGAUAAACCGGAGGAAGGUGGGAUGACGUCAAGUCAUCAUGGCCCUUACGGCCAGGGCUACACACGUGCUACAAUGGCGCAUACAAAGAGAAGCGACCUCGCGAGAGCAAGCGGACCUCAUAAAGUGCGUCGUAGUCCGGAUUGGAGUCUGCAACUCGACUCCAUGAAGUCGGAAUCGCUAGUAAUCGUAGAUCAGAAUGCUACGGUGAAUACGUUCCCGGGCCUUGUACACACCGCCCGUCACACCAUGGGAGUGGGUUGCAAAAGAAGUAGGUAGCUUAACCUUCGGGAGGGCGCUUACCACUUUGUGAUUCAUGACUGGGGUGAAGUCGUAACAAGGUAGGCGUAGAUGA
rnacentral:rRNA from 1 species